AGGAUCUGGCUCUAACCGUCCACCCAGGGCCCAGAAUGAGGCCUGUGGCUUGGAGGGACUGAGUUCUGAAUCAGCUGAGGAAAUGGUCAAAACUUUAGUCCAGGGCUUCUGCCAGUCCUCAGGGUCAGUCCCAUCCAUGCCCAGAGCUGGGAGGAAGGCCCCAUCCCAGCCUUCCAGACCACACUUCCUCCUGGAAAGACGCUAGAAACCACGUGCCUGGCACAGCCACCCCCUCUCCGCUGGUGCAAACCCCCCACCCAGUCAGCUGCCAGCCUCACCUUCCUCCCUCCCACCUCCUAGUGGCUCCCAGUGCCACCAGGCGCCUCCACUCCACCCUCAGCCCCUGCCCUGGGCCGGGCCCACUUUUUCCACUCCAGGAUGGGGGCAGGAGUGACCUCCUCAACUGGCCACCACCUCCAAGCAGAAACUGCCUAUGAAGUCAAGAUGAUCUGAAGAGUCCUUGCAGCUGCCACCUUGCCUUCAACCCUCACGUCCUGUAACCCAUCCCCCACCCCCGAUCCUGUGACUCUGGAUUUAAAAUCUGUUUUGCUUUCCUUGCACCCAGUGCAAGCAUCUAGGUGCGGCGUUCCAGGCGCCUCGCAGGGGGUCGGGUCCCCAGCCUUCUGUCCCACCGUUCCGUCCCCCGGGCCCGGCCCACCUGGCGCCCCCUCCCGCCCGCCACCGCCCGCUGGCGCCUGUCGGUCGUCUAGACCCGCCGCCCCCGCUCCACCGCUCAGAUCCGCGGCCAGAGCCGGAAGUGGCUCCUGCCCCGGCCGGGAGCGGCGGGGCUGAGACUGUGCCCGCGGGCACUGCCAUCCCGUGCAUGGAGAGGGCGCAGAGCCCGGGGGUAGGGCGGGCCGGGGAACCCGAUCCUCCUUCAUCCGCGCAAAGGCCCGCGAAGCUCCCAAUCUGUUCUCUUUCAGGCUCACUGUGCAGAUGGCGUGCAAUUAAGUGGGUCGGUGCAGCAAACCCUCGUAUCCUCCCGCUUCCCUAAAAGCAGAGGAUUGAGCCGCUGCACUCCAGCCUGGGCAACACAGCGAGACCCUAUGUCUUAAAGAAAGGGCAGAAGUGGGGACCCCUCUCCCACCCCCUUCCCCUGCUCCAAGCCAAAGCGUUUGAAGCAAGAGGUUGCCUCCUGUGAGUUUCCCCCAGUCCCUGGAGGCCUGGGCUUUGGGAGGUGUGUCCAGGCAGAGGACAGAGGUCUUGUGCAAAGGGCCGCUUUUCCCUUCGCCCACCCUGCGCCCGCCCAGCCCCUUAUCCGAUGGGAAAGCCUUACUGACUCUUUUCCUCGCAGAAGCGCCCAGAUGCUGUUUAUGCAACCUCUCCAGAAUCUCAGU
rnacentral:lncRNA from 10 species